UACCAUGCAGUCGAGCGGAGAUGAGGUGCUUGCACCUUAUCUUAGCGGCGGACGGGUGAGUAAUGCUUAGGAAUCUGCCUAUUAGUGGGGGACAACAUUCCGAAAGGAAUGCUAAUACCGCAUACGUCCUACGGGAGAAAGCAGGGGAUCUUCGGACCUUGCGCUAAUAGAUGAGCCUAAGUCGGAUUAGCUAGUUGGUGGGGUAAAGGCCUACCAAGGCGACGAUCUGUAGCGGGUCUGAGAGGAUGAUCCGCCACACUGGGACUGAGACACGGCCCAGACUCCUACGGGAGGCAGCAGUGGGGAAUAUUGGACAAUGGGGGGAACCCUGAUCCAGCCAUGCCGCGUGUGUGAAGAAGGCCUUAUGGUUGUAAAGCACUUUAAGCGAGGAGGAGGCUACUGAGACUAAUACUCUUGGAUAGUGGACGUUACUCGCAGAAUAAGCACCGGCUAACUCUGUGCCAGCAGCCGCGGUAAUACAGAGGGUGCGAGCGUUAAUCGGAUUUACUGGGCGUAAAGCGUGCGUAGGCGGCUUUUUAAGUCGGAUGUGAAAUCCCCGAGCUUAACUUGGGAAUUGCAUUCGAUACUGGGAAGCUAGAGUAUGGGAGAGGAUGGUAGAAU
rnacentral:rRNA from 1 species